rnacentral:rRNA from 1 species
GCGAGGUCAUGCAAAUCCCAUAAAGUUGUUCUCAGUUCGGAUUGUAGUCUGCAACUCGACUACAUGAAGCUGGAAUCGCUAGUAAUCGUAGAUCAGCAUGCUACGGUGAAUACGUUCCCGGGUCUUGUACACACCGCCCGUCACACCACGAGAGUUUGUAACACCCGAAGCCGGUGGAGUAACCAUUUAUGGAG